rnacentral:tRNA from 1 species
GGCUGGUUAGCUCACCCAGUUGAGUGUGGCCCUAACAACGCCAAGGGCAUGGGUUCGAUUCCCAUUUGGUCCC